CGUGUAGCAAUACACGAGUGGCGCACGGGUGAGUAACACGUGGAUAUCUGCCUUUUGGUUCGGGAUAACCCUGGGAAACUAGGGCUAAUACCGAAUGGUUCCUACGGGAUAAAGAUUUAUCGCCAAAAGAUGAGUCCGCGUCCGAUUAGCUAGUUGGUGAGGUAAUGGCUCACCAAGGCGACGAUCGGUAGCUGGUCUGAGAGGACGAUCAGCCACACUGGGACUGAGACACGGCCCAGACUCCUACGGGAGGCAGCAGUGGGGAAUAUUGGACAAUGGGGGCAACCCUGAUCCAGCCAUGCCGCGUGAGUGAUGAAGGCCUUCGGGUUGUAAAGCUCUUUUGGCGGGGACGAUGAUGACGGUACCCGCAGAAUAAGCCCCGGCUAACUUCGUGCCAGCAGCCGCGGUAAGACGAAGGGGGCUAGCGUUGUUCGGAAUUACUGGGCGUAAAGCGCGUGUAGGCGGUUGUUCAAGUCAGGUGUGAAAGCCUUGAGCUCAACUCAAGAAAUGCACUUGAUACUGGAUGACUAGAGGACCGGAGAGGAUAGUGGAAUUCCCAGUGUAGUGGUGAAAUACGUAGAGAUUGGGAAGAACACCAGUGGCGAAGGCGGCUAUCUGGACGGUACUGACGCU
rnacentral:rRNA from 1 species